GAGUUUGAUCCUGGCUCAGAUUGAACGCUGGCGGCAUGCCUUACACAUGCAAGUCGAACGGCAGCACGGGAGCUUGCUCCUGGUGGCGAGUGUCGAACGGGUGAGUAAUGCAUCGGAACGUAUCCUGGAGUGGGGGAUAACGUAGCGAAAGUUACGCUAAUACCGCAUAUUCUGUCGAGCAGGAAAGCGGGGGACCUUCGGGCCUCGCGCUCUUGGAGCGGCCGAUGUCGGAUUAGCUAGUUGGUGAGGUAAAGGCUCACCAAGGCGACGAUCCGUAGCAGGUCUGA
rnacentral:rRNA from 1 species